UACGUAGGGGGCUAGCGUUGUCCGGAUUUAUUGGGCGUAAAGAGCGUGUAGGCGGCCAGAUAGGUCUGCUGUGAAAACUCGAGGCUCAACCUCGAGAUGUCGGCGGAAACCAUUUGGCUAGAGUCCGGAAGAGGAAAGUGGAAUUCCUGGUGUAGAGGUGAAAUUCGUAGAUAUCAGGAGGAACACCGGUGGCGAAGGCGGCUUUCUGGACGAUAACUGACGCUGAGACGCGAAAGCGUGGGGAGCAAACAGG
rnacentral:rRNA from 1 species